ACAGGCAACAAGUUACGCAGCGGGAGUCAAUUUUCACCUCCGAGGACAACUCCAUGUUAUAUGCGACAGUAGAAAGAAUGGGUGGUAGAUUUGCGAGGUACCGGUAUUCGAGUCCCGAAAACUGGUGAAUUCACUAGUUCUGUACUAGUACUUUCCGCUGCAGGGGCAACUUAUCGGAAUUAGUAAUGUAUCGGAAAUAAUAAUGUCUCGUCUUUUAAUAGUUGUACCUCUAUGUACAUAUGUAUACAUAUUUAUUUGUACCCUGUGGGGAAACGCAGCAGUGCCGUACUGGUUGGUCUUUCGACUACCCUACUCCGUCGCCCAAACAUUGAAAUCACCUAACACAAUUAUUGGGUGUCUGUCGAUUGCAGUUUCCACUACAUUGUCCUGGAGCUUUUGGAAUUCCUAGUGAGUCCAGCUAGGCAGGGCUGCCAACUUCUGCAUUCUCGAAACCGGGACACAGAAUGUUAUGAAAGGGCAUGGGCAACCUUACAUCGGUGUUCCUUAUAGAGGUAUUCAUGCAGAGUUUGGAAGAAAGGAGCAUGGAGUAUCUUACGUCACAACUAGGAGCGACGUCCUACGCCAGAUACGUUGAUGACAUCAUAUGUCUCAUAACAAAGAAAAAUAAAGAGCAGAUAUUGGAAUACCUCAACAAACAGCACACCAAUAUAAAAUUCACAAUGGAACAAGAA